CUUAACAUUAUCAUUUCAAUGUCCAAUGACUCAGAGAUUCAGUAAGUUGUUUAUUUAUUUGUUUGUUUUAAUAUGGAAAGCUUUUUAUUUAGGUUAUUGCGCCAAAUUGAAUUUACUAAUGGAAGAAGGCUAUGCACCAUAUCUAUUGACUUAAAAAAGAUCAAUGAAAUGUCUUAGUAACCAGGUCUCUUAAUAUUAAAUAGAAGAAAGCAAAUAGGAGAUUGGGAGGCUCCCCAUCUCAGCUGUAAUAUAUUCUUGCUGUGGAUCCUUUUAUUAGUCUCUUCUUUGAUUGUUACAUGCCACAUACUUACAGUAAGGAACAUAUGAGUGCAAAUGAACCAAGAUGAACUGAGUUCUUGACUGUUGGGGCUCUGUCCUUUAGUUUGGUUCUAUUUUUCUACAUGCAGGGGUGGGGGGUUAGGGGUGGAGUUGGUAGUUUCUGAGGGCUGCAGGUGGUUGCUGCUGUGUCACCUUUAUGGUGUUCUUCUCAGGAGUAGAGAUGGAUAAGAAUUUAUCUAGUAUCUCACAACAAAGGAAUUUGGCAACUAUAGUUCCUCCGUUCAAUUUCAGAGCAAGGAGUUGUUGACAUUUCCCCUCGUUCAAUUCUUGUAUGGGAUUUUCAAGCCUUUUUCUCUCCCUUGUUUUUCUGGUGUGCUAGAAUGGGAAAAAAAAAAAAAAAAAAAAACUGAAUGUAGACUAUGAAGUACAGAUAUGGAUAUAGGAUAUGUAUAUGGCUAGGAUACAUUCAUAAAGUAUGGGGGUGUUUAAUAACCUAAUUCAACACUUAAAACUGAAUGUAUUAAGUGAUGAUCAAUUAAUCCCGUUUGAUAACUAUAAUUGAUAUCACUUAAAAAUUUAAGUGCCUCUUAAAAUGUAGGCUAAAAUUGAAGUAAAUUUUAAGUCAUAUCAAACUUACUUAAUUUUGAUUAAAUUUAUAAAUACUAAACAUAAGUAUCUGUAUACACUAUUAUAAACUCACUAUCACCACCAUGCCAUCGCUGCCACCACCACCACCGCUACCGCCGCCACCGCCACCGCCACCCCAUCAUCAAGCCACCGCCAUCAUCAUGCCACCGCCACCGCCACCACCCCCACUAGCUUCAUUAUCAUUGUCAUUGUUGCUAUAAGCACCACCAUCACCACCACCACCACCACCAUGCCAACACCAUCACUAUCACUCCCGCCGCCGCCGCCACCACCACCACCACCAUUAUCAUGCCACCAUCACAACCUUCAUCACCAUUGUAAUUGUUGUCAUAAGCACCACCAAUUUUACUACCACUACCAUUGCUACCACCACUAUCAUCACAAUAUAAAAAUUAAAAUAUACAAUUUAAAAAUAAUAUAUUUCAAAUUUAAUCUUAUAAAUAUAAGUUAUUUUUAGUUCAGCACUUAAAUUUUUAUCAAACAACUUC